UACAGGGGGGGCAAGCGUUGUUCGGAAUUACUGGGCGUAAAGGGUUCGUAGGUGGCCAACUAAGUCAGACGUGAAAUCCCUCAGCUUAACUGGGGAACUGCGUCUGAUACUGGGUGGCUUGAAUCCGGGAGAGGGAUGCGGAAUUCCAGGUGUAGCGGUGAAAUGCGUAGAUAUCUGGAGGAACACCGGUGGCGAAGGCGGCAUCCUGGACCGGCAUUGACGCUGAGGCGCGAAAGCCAGGUGAGCAAACGGG
rnacentral:rRNA from 1 species